GUAGGUGGCAAGCGUUGUCCGGAAUUAUUGGGCGCAAAGCGCGCGCGGGCGGUUCUUUAAGUCUGAUGUGAAAGCCCACGGCUCAACCGUGGAGGGUCAUUGGAAACUGGAGAACUUGAGUACAGAAGAGGAAAGCGGAAUUCCACGUGUAGCGGUGAAAUGCGUAGAGAUGUGGAGGAACACCAGUGGCGAAGGCGGCUUUCUGGUCUGUAACUGACGCUGAGGCGCGAAAGCGUGGGGAGCAAACAGGAUUAGAUACCCUGGUAGUCCACGCCGUAAACGAUGAGUGCUAAGUGUUAGGGGGUUUCCGCCCCCCUUAGUGCUGCAGCUAACGCAUUAAGCACUCCGCCUGGGAGUACGGCCGCAAGGCUG
rnacentral:rRNA from 1 species